rnacentral:tRNA from 1 species
GGGGAUUUAGCUCAGUGGUAGAGCACUUGCCUAGCAAGCGCAAGGCCCUGGGUUCAAUCCCCAGCUCCA